rnacentral:rRNA from 1 species
UACGUGGGGGGCAAGCGUUGUUCGGAAUUACUGGGCGUAAAGGGCUCGUAGGCGGCCAACUAAGUCGGAUGUGAAAUCCCCAAGCUUAACUUGGGAACUGCAUCCGAUACUGGAUGGCUUGAAUCCGGGAGAGGGAUGCAGAAUUCCAGGUGUAGCGGUGAAAUGCGUAGAUAUCUGGAGGAAUACCGGUGGCGAAGGCGGCAUCCUGGACCGGCAUUGACGCUGAGGAGCGAAAGCUAGGGGAGCAAACGGG